GGGAGAUAGCUUAGUAGAUCAGAGCACUUGCUAUGAAAGCAAGAAGACCUGAGUUCAAAUCCCCAGCACCCA
rnacentral:tRNA from 1 species